rnacentral:rRNA from 1 species
AAGUCGUAACAAGGUUUCCGUAGGUGAACCUGCGGAAGGAUCAUUAGUGAUUGCCUUUAUAGGCUUAUAACUAUAUCCACUUACACCUGUGAACUGUUCUACUACUUGACGCAAGUCGAGUAUUUUUACAAACAAUGUGUAAUGAACGUCGUUUUACUAUAACAAAAUAAAACUUUCAACAACGGAUCUCUUGGCUCUCGCAUCGAUGAAGAACGCAGCGAAUUGCGAUAAGUAAUGUGAAUUGCAGAAUUCAGUGAAUCAUCGAAUCUUUGAACGCAGCUUGCGCUCUCUGGUAUUCCGGAGAGCAUGCCUGUUUCAGUGUCAUGAAAUCUCAACCACUAGGGUUUCCUAAUGGAUUGGAUUUGGGCGUCUGCGAUUUCUGAUCGCUCGCCUUAAAAGAGUUAGCAAGUUUGACAUUAAUGUCUGGUGUAAUAAGUUUCACUGGGUCCAUUGUGUUGAAGCGUGCUUCUAAUCGUCCGCAGGGACAAUUACUUUGACUCUGGCCUGAAAUCAGGUAGGACUACCCGCUGAACUUAA